CCUACGGGUGGCAGCAGUAGGGAAUAUUGCUCAAUGGGGGAAACCCUGAAGCAGCAACGUCGCGUGGGGGAUGACGGUCUUCUGAUUGUAAACCCUCUUUGUUCGGGGAGAAAAUGACGGUAUGUAACGAAUAAGCACCGUCUAACUCCGUGCAAGCAGCCGCCGUAAUACGGCGGGUGCAAGCGUUACUCGGAAUAACUGGGCGUAAAGCGGGCGUAGGCGGGAUAGCAAGUCAGCUGUGAAAUCCUAGGGCUUAACCAUAGAACUGCAGUUGAAACUGGUAUUCUAGAGUAUGGGAGAGGUAUGUGGAAUGCGUGGUGUAGGGGUAAAAUGCGUAGAGAUCAAGAAGAAUACUCAUUGCGAAGGCGACCUGCUGGAACAUAACUGACGCUGAUGCGCGAAAGCGUGGGGAGCGAACAGGAUUAGAUACCCGGGUAGUC
rnacentral:rRNA from 1 species